AGAUUGAACGCUGGCGGAAUGCUUUACACAUGCAAGUCGAGCGGCAGCGCGGGGCAACCUGGCGGCGAGCGGCGAACGGGUGAGUAAUGCAUCGGAACAUGUCCAUUCGUGGGGGAUAGCCCGGCGAAAGCCGGAUUAAUACCGCAUACGCCCUGAGGGGGAAAGUGGGGGACCGCAAGGCCUCACGCGAAUGGGUUGGCCGAUGUCCGAUUAGCUAGUUGGUGGGUAAAGGCUUACCAAGGCGAUGAUCGGUAGCUGGUCUGAGAGGAUGAUCAGCCACACUGGGACUGAGACACGGCCCAGACUCCUACGGGAGGCAGCAGUGGGGAAUAUUGGACAAUGGGCGCAAGCCUGAUCCAGCCAUGCCGCGUGGGUGAUGAAGGCCCUAGGGUUGUAAAGCCCUUUCGGCGGGAAGAUAAUGACGGUACCGCAGAAGAAGCCCGGCUAACUUCGUGCCAGCAGCCGC
rnacentral:rRNA from 1 species